rnacentral:tRNA from 1 species
AUCUUUUUAGUAUAUAAAAAAUAUUAUACUUGACUUCCAAUCAAGAGAUCUUAAUAAAAGAAAAGAUA